AGCUUAUAAGGUGAGGAUUGCCCAAGCCAUAAAAGGAGACCAAGGACCUCAAAUCCCUCCGAUGUGGGACAACUCAACAGUAAAUAUAAAUUUGAAACAAUAAGAAUGUUUCUUUUGAGGGCAUAAUUGAACUUUUCUCUUAAUAGGUUCCUUUUCCAACGAUUAUGUUUCUAUGCUUUUGUGUUGUAUAAAAUAAUCAACCUUACCAAAAAAGAGUAAAAAAGAACGCCCUGUGUGUCUAUGCAAAAGAAUCCAUGAAUUCUAGUAGGGUUUCACUAUCACCUAUCC
rnacentral:lncRNA from 1 species